AUAAAAUGUGGCCAAAGACCUAUAAAACAAAUGGACCAAGGUGUUUCCCUUGUUUAGAAGUGAUGGCAUGGUGUUCCUCAGCCCUAGUUACACCCUGUGGUUCCACCAUUGGCCUGCUGUAGCUCCUAAGAAGC